CUGACAGUCCAGUGGGCAAUGAUCAGGAGACCACAGAGUGAGUGAAGUGUUCAGACAACCUGAUCUCACUCUGUAAUUCAAGGUAUUCUUGAACUCACUGUGUAGCCCAGGCUGGCCUCGAACUCAUGGCAAUCCUCCUGCCUCAACUUCUUGAAUGCUGGGAUUACAGUGCUUCUCCUCUGUGAUUCCCCUCUGCCAUGCCACCCUGCCCUGGAGCCAGCCAACUCUCUGGACUGAAACCUCUACAAACUACCAAUGUAUCUGAGCUGAACAUGAUCUCUACAACCUGCCUGAUAUCACAUUACCAUGCUGCACAUGGGUACAUAAAACUGUUGGACUGUUAUUUUAGAAGAUGAACAAGGAAGGACACAAUGACAUGGGUCAGCUGCUGCCUGGAAUAUACCUUCAUGGCAUGAUACAGCUGUUUAAUGGUCCACUGCUAGUUCCUCAAGGGAUCAAACUUGGGACCUUGCACUUGUGAGGCAGAUGGCAGAACCACUGAGCUAAAUCCCUGGCUGUUUCCAGAACUACUUUGGAAAGUGGCAAGAACAACUGGGUAUUUUGAGAGG
rnacentral:lncRNA from 1 species